rnacentral:tRNA from 1 species
GCCGGGGUGGCGGAGUGGACUAUCGCGCGGGCCUUGAGAGCCCGUGUGCCCCGUGGCACUCGUGGGUUCGAAUCCCACCCCCGGCG